UACGUAGGGUGCAAGCGUUGUCCGGAAUUAUUGGGCGUAAAGAGCUCGUAGGCGGUCUGUCGCGUCGGCUGUGAAAACUCGGGGCUCAACCCCGAGCCUGCAGUCGAUACGGGCAGACUAGAGUGCGGUAGGGGAGACUGGAAUUCCUGGUGUAGCGGUGAAAUGCGCAGAUAUCAGGAGGAACACCGGUGGCGAAGGCGGCUCACUGGCCCGAUACUGACGCUGAGGUGCGAAAGCGUGGGGAGCAAACAGG
rnacentral:rRNA from 1 species